AGGACACUCAUAUACGGUAGCUGGUAAGAAUCAACCUAACAAGAAGGAGCUCCUAACAGGGCCAGUCAGAGUCAAGAAAAGAAUAAUGGAUUCAAUCAAAGACGACAGUUGCAUUCAUCUGGUCGAGAUCUAGCUCGAUCACAAUCUGCUAAAGCCAAGCCUCUUCCAAAUUCAAAUCCACCAAGAUCCAUCUUGCCUCAGUAUCACCAAAACUUAGCUAGCCAGUCACUAAGCAGAUCAACCAAUUCAAAGUUACUUCCUCCUAAAAAGCAACUUCCUUUAAAGUCAUCUAUCCCAAAAAAACUAGCAAAACUACAAACUCAUUCAAAUAAAGCUAGCCAACCAAAACUAGGUCCAACUGAGAACAGUUCAAAAACUCAAAGUAGGUCUAGGCAGUCACAAGUUUACCAAAAUAACUCUAUUCAAAAAAGGCCUCAUUUCAAGUCAACUAUUCACAAUAGACCCCAUUCAUUACAUCCUGGUCAAUUACGGUACUCUAAGAAACAGCCUCAAAAAUCCCAAUCUCCUCCAAAUCCAUCUGUUAAAAAAGUGAUAAAGCCAUUCAAAUCUCUUUCAAAUACAGCCCUUCAGCAAAAACCUCAACUAACGAAGCAUAAUCCUAAUUCACACACUCUACAAAAAGCUAGCCUAAACAAGCCACAACCUAAUAAAUUUGUUAAAAGAAGAACCAGACAAAGAAAGCCUAAUUCAAAAGCACUUGUCCAAAAUAUACCAAGCCACACCAAAACUCAUCUAGAAGCACCUGGUGGAAGAAAACGUAUACAGCCGCUCAAUCCAAGAAAAUGUCUACAACCAUCUAGUCAAGGAAGACGUCCACAGUCAUCUAAUCGAAGACAACACCCACAUCCGCUUGGUCAAAAAAUACCAAAUCCACUAAUUAAAGUACCCAGACAAAUUAAGGCCACACAUUGUAUUAGGCCACACAUUCAAAACAAACCUGAAUCACACCACUAUCAUCCACAUGUACAUCUUUCUCCAGACAACCCAUAUCCAUCUCCCUUCAUUCCCAGCCUGAAACCUCAGGUGCAACCAACUAGCAAAGUGGUAAGCACCAGAACCCAAGUCUUAAACACAACUCCGUUUGCUGCCAUUGCCACCACAACUCCCCACUACACUAUCAGCUCCAACACAACCUCAGCUACAACCACAAACAAAAUAUCAUCUGAUCUCAUCUUCAAAAGUACAACUCCUUCUGAUAUCACAGUUUCCAGUCCUAAAACCCAAGUUCCAGUUACCAUUCCACUCACUGCUGCAACCACGUCUAAUGCUCCAACUACCGAGAUUUCACCUCCCCUUGUUACUGCCACUACUCUUCCUGCCACCAUGCAAACAACUCCUUUUACCAUACAUACCAUACUCAAGAUGACCACUGAGUCAGGAUAUGAAACAACAGAACUUCCCUACAGCAGCACUAACCCUGAUAAUAACUACAUAUAUGAAACUACAGAAUCUUAUUACUAUGAUGAAUUUGAUGUCUCUAAUUCUGAAAUUACAGCAUCCACCUAUACCACUCCAAAACCUGCCUCUACCACCAACUAA
rnacentral:lncRNA from 12 species